rnacentral:rRNA from 1 species
GAUGAACGCUGGCGGCGUGCCUAAUACAUGCAAGUCGAGCGAACAGACGAGGAGCUUGCUCCUCUGACGUUAGCGGCGGACGGGUGAGUAACACGUGGAUAACCUACCUAUAAGACUGGGAUAACCUCGGGAAACCGGAGCUAAUACCGGAUAAUAUAUUGCACCGCAUGGUGCAAUAGUGAAAGACGGUUUUGCUGUCACUUAUAGAUGGAUCCGCGCCGCUUUAGCUAGUUGGUAAGGUAACGGCUUACCAAGGCGACGAUGCGUAGCCGACCUGAGAGGGUGAUCGGCCACACUGGAACUGAGACACGGUCCAGACUCCUACGGGAGGCAGCAGUAGGGAAUCUUCCGCAAUGGGCGAAAGCCUGACGGAGCAACGCCGCGUGAGUGAUGAAGGUCUUCGGAUCGUAAAACUCUGUUAUUAGGGAAGAACAAAUGUGUAAGUAACUAUGCACGUCUUGACGGUACCUAAUCAGAAAGCCACGGCUAACUACGUG